GCCAAACUAAAAAGAUCCAUGUGGCAUCUGAUCUUGGAAGCUAAGUAGGCCUGGUUAGUACUUGGAUGGGAGCCCACCUAGGAAGACCAGGUGC
rnacentral:rRNA from 1 species